rnacentral:rRNA from 1 species
UACGAAGGGGGCUAGCGUUGCUCGGAAUUACUGGGCGUAAAGGGCGCGUAGGCGGAUGUCUAAGUUGGGGGUGAAAUCCCGGGGCUCAACCUCGGAACCGCCUUCAAUACUGGAUAUCUUGAGUUCGGGAGAGGUGAGUGGAAUGCCGAGUGUAGAGGUGAAAUUCGUAGAUAUUCGGCGGAACACCAGUGGCGAAGGCGACUCACUGGCCCGAUACUGACGCUGAGGCGCGAAAGCGAUGGGGAGCAAACAGGG